UGGGGAAUUUUGGACAAUGGGGGCAACCCUGAUCCAGCCAUGCCGCGUGAGUGAAGAAGGCCUUCGGGUUGUAAAGCUCUUUCGGCGGGGACGAAACGGUCCGUGACAACACCACGGACUAAUGACAGUACUCGCAGAAGAAGCACCGGCUAACUACGUGCCAGCAGCCGCGGUAAUACGUAGGGUGCAGGCGUUAAUCGGAAUUACUGGGCGUAAAGCGUGCGCAGGCGGCUCCUUAAGUCAGAUGUGAAAUCCCCGGGCUUAACCUGGGAACUGCGUUUGAAACUGAGGGGCUAGAGUGUGGAAGAGGGGGGUGGAAUUCCAGGUGUAGCAGUGAAAUGCGUAGAGAUCUGGAGGAACACCGAUGGCGAAGGCAGCCCCCUGGGCUAACACUGACGCUCAUGCACGAAAGCGUGGGGAGCAAACAGGAUUAGAUACCCUUGUAGUCCCUGAGCGGGCUGGCAAGGCGCAU
rnacentral:rRNA from 1 species